AACGUAGGACGCAAGCGUUAUCUGGAGUUACUGGGCGUAAAGCGCGGGCAGGCGGCUCUGUAAGUCUGAUGUGAAAGCGCCCGGCUCAACCGGGCGAGGCCAUUGGAAACUGGAGAGCUGGAGGGCAGUAGAGGCAGGCGGAAUUCCGGGUGGAGUGGUGAAAUGCGUAGAGAUCCGGAGGAACACCAGAGGCGAAGGCGGCCUGCUGGGCUGCACCUGACGCUGAACCGCGAAAGCCAGGGGAGCGAACGGG
rnacentral:rRNA from 1 species